UGGCUGUAGCUACACUAAUCAUUUCAUAGAAGCAUAUGGCCGUGCGCGAUUUCUCAUUUGCUCAUGGUUACCGCGUUUCUUACAUUU